GUCAGACUGCAUCUCAGCAUUGUCAAGAUGGAUCUCCAUAACAGCAAGCAAUCCCGUUUGAAACAGUUUCCAACUAUGUUGUGCCUGGAAGACUUUAUCAGUUAAAAGAAUUAUCUUUCAGAACUUCAUCAGUGCAACUUGAUUAGUAUUGGAACCAUCCUACGGAGCUAUUUAAAAUGUUUCAUACACAGGAGUAAGUCAUAAAAAUGAUGCCUUACUGAUAA